UUAAGUCCGCAACGAGCGCAACCCUUGUCCUUAGUUACCAUCAUUAAGUUGGGGGAACUCUAAGGAGACUGCCGGUGAUAAACCGGAGGAAGGUGGGGACGACGUCAAGUCAUCAUGGCCCUUAUGACCGGGGCUACACACGUACUACAAUGGUCGGUACAGACGGUCGCAAGCUCGCGAGAGUAAGCUAAUCCGAGAAAACCGAUCGUAGUCCGGAUCGCAGUCUGCAACUCGACUGCGUGAAGUCGGAAUCGCUAGUAAUCGCAAAUCAGAAUGUUGCGGUGAAUACGUUCCCGGGCCUU
rnacentral:rRNA from 1 species